rnacentral:rRNA from 1 species
UGGGGAAUUUUGGACAAUGGGCGAAAGCCUGAUCCAGCAAUGCCGCGUGUGUGAAGAAGGCCUUCGGGUUGUAAAGCACUUUUGUCCGGAAAGAAAUCCUUGGCUCUAAUACAGUCGGGGGAUGACGGUACCGGAAGAAUAAGCACCGGCUAACUACGUGCCAGCAGCCGCGGUAAUACGUAGGGUGCAAGCGUUAAUCGGAAUUACUGGGCGUAAAGCGUGCGCAGGCGGUUUGCUAAGACCGAUGUGAAAUCCCCGGGCUCAACCUGGGAACUGCAUUGGUGACUGGCAGGCUAGAGUAUGGCAGAGGGGGGUAGAAUUCCACGUGUAGCAGUGAAAUGCGUAGAAAUGUGGAGGAAUACCGAUGGCGAAGGCAGCCCCCUGGGCC